UUAGCUUCUCGGCCUUUUGGCUAAGAUCAAGUGUAGUAUCUGUUAGCAUUUCACCACCUUCUCCACGCAGAGGACAUACCAUUUCCCUUUUCUUCCUAUUUCUACUGACAUAACCAAAUAACUCCUUUUAUUGUUUUAAUCUCUCUGGCAAGCUUUGAUUAUAAAACUGUUGGAGAAUGGGAAAGGCACUUAUUGGCUCAACUGAAA
ensembl:snRNA U2 U2 spliceosomal RNA